AUUGCACGCUGGCGGCAGGCCUAAAACAUGCAAGUCGAACGAGUGGCGGACGGGUGAGUAAUGUAUGGGAAACUGCCAGAUGGAGGGGGAUAACUACUGGAAACGGUCGCUACUACCGAAUACCCUAGGAUGUGCCCAGAUGGGAUUAGCUAGUAGGUGUGGUAACGGCUCACCUAGGCGACGAUCACUAGCUGGUCUGCGAGGAUGAACAGCAACACGGGAACUGAGACACGGUCCAGACGCCUACGGGAGGCAGCAGUGGGGAAUAUUGAACAAUGGGCGCAAGCCUGAUGCAGGCAUGCCGCGUGUAUGAAGAAGGCCUUCGGGUUGGAAAGUACUUUCAGCGGGGAGGCGUUACCCGCAGAAGAAGCACCGGCUAACUCCGUGCUAGCAGCCGCGGUAAUAC
rnacentral:rRNA from 1 species